rnacentral:lncRNA from 1 species
UUCUUCCUCCUCCUUCCCUCUGUUUCCCUCGACCUCUCCCGCUGCAACCUCUCCAACCAAAUCCCACCACAAAUCUGCCAUCUUUCUUCACUAAUCCACCUCAAUUUGAGCGGCAACGCCUUCCACGGCCCUCUCCAGCCCGCCAUUUUCGAGCUCUACAACCUCAAGAUCCUCGGCAUCAGCCACAACGACUUCAAGUCGGAUUUCCCGCCUGGGAUUUGAAGCUUAGUGGUGGUGGUGUGUCGUCGGUGCGUGCGUGGGUGUACUGUCAGGGAGAGAGUCCGAGAAAGAGAUAGAGAGUGAAAGACUGAGAUCCGAGAGAGAAAACCCCCCCGGCCCUGCCGUGACCCACGACCCACCUCUCUUCCCCCCGCUCCGCCGCGACCCACUUCCCUUCCCCCUGGACCUUCUGACGACCUUCCUGCGAACUGGGCUUUUUUUUUCUUUUUUUUCUCUUUUUUUUUUCUCCCUCUUCUUCUUCUUCUUGUUACAGGUUUUGGGGGGAUGAACUGGGGUUUUUUUUUUCUUUUCCUCCCUCCUGUUCUUCUUCUUCUUCUUGUUGCAGGUUUUUAGGUUCUAGGUUAGGGAUAGGGAUGUGGGUCGAUUGGGGGGAGGUCGUUGGGGGGUGGAUGAGAGAUAGUGUGUAGGGAUUGCAGAGAGGAGAGGGGGAAGAAAAGGGUUUUUUUUUUUUUUGAAGAUUUAGGUUUUUUUUAAAAAAAAUUAAAAUUUUUUUUUUUUUGGCACGUGGCAGCCACAUCAGCACAAAUGUGGCAGCCACGUCAGCAUUUAACAGACUAAUGGAUGGAAAAUCUAACGGAGGUGUUAUUUUGAAAUAAAAUAGUACAUGAGGUAUGAAAGUGAAAUGUUUUAAAGAUGUUGUAUGAGGUUGUAAUAAACCUCAAACCUGAGGGGCUACUAUGUAAUUUACCCAAAAUCAUUAAAAUCUUUAAAAUUGUGAUUUUUCGUUAAAAUCAUUAAAAUUGUGAUUUUUCGUUAAAAUCGAUAAAAUUGUGAUUUUUCAUUAAAAUCGGGUCGAGGAGUGUAGCUGUAAAAAAAUCAUUAAAAUCGGAGCUAAAAUAACCGUUAAAUUGUGAUUUUUCUUUUAUAACCAUCAAAAACUUUUGUUCCGUUACAUAAUCUCUUAAUGUUUGUUUUUUACAAUUUUUUACAUAUGCAAUCUCGGAGUGUGUACAAAUAAGUUUUACGGUUCAAUCGUUGAAAAACUUUCGUAGAAUGCAUAUCGUUUCAAAACGGUAGAUUAAACAAACACUUAAGAGUUAAUAUUAUACUUCCAUCAAGUAUAAAGUAAGAUUUGUGGUAUCCACUAGUGUAAAUAUUUUAAAUUGAAGAUCAAAUUUAUUCAUUGCAUUCUUAUAGGGUCAAGGAGUAUAGCUAUGAAAAAUCAUCAAAAUUGGAGAUAAAAUAACCGUUAAAUUAUGAUUUUUCAUUUAUAACCAUCAAAAACUUUUGUUCCAAUACCUAAUAUCUGAAUGUUUGUUUUUUGCGAUUUUUUACGUAUGUGAUCUCAGAGUGUGUACAAACAAGUUUGAAGGUUGGAUCGUUGAAAAAAGUUUCGUAGAAUGCGUAUCGCAUCAAAAUAGUAGAUUAACCAAACACUUAGAGUUAAUGUUAUACUUCCCCAUCAAAGUAUAAAAUAAGAUUUUGUGGUAUCCACUAGUGUAAAUAUUUUAAAUUGAAGAUCAAAUUCAUUCAAUGCGUUCUUAUAGGGUCGACGAGUGUAGCUGUAAAAAAUCAUCAAAAUCGGAGCUAAAAUAACCGUUAAAUUGUGAUUUUUUGUUUAUAACCGUCGAAAACUUUUGUUCCGUUAUGUAAUCUCUAAAUGUUUGUGUAGACAUCGAAAUUUCGGUAAAAUAAAUGUUGAUCAAUAAUUAAAAUUUCAAUGUUUAUGUGUCACAUAAAUUUUGCACAUAGCAUGUGACUAAACGAAAAAUCAAAAUAAGUCGGAAAAGUCAUCAAACAGGACACGUGUCAACACCUGGCCGAAAUGAUUUAUUUCAUCUAAUUAUUUAAAUCCAAAAAAUCAAGUUUUGGAAUUCUAUAAAUAGGAGGCCAAGGCAUUCAUUUUGGGACACCAAUUCAUAACCAAUUCACCUCAUACCACAACCUUGAAGCUUUGAAACUCAAAAGCUCUCAAGCAAAUCCCGAAGGAUCAAGAGAGCUCUCUUCGUUCUUCGUCAAAUCCUCAUUCAAAAUCAAGCCCCAACGGCCCUUGAAGAACUUCCGCUGAUUCAAGAUCAAGCCCCGACGGCCCUUGAAGAAAGUGUCCAUCGUUCAUCAUUCGUUCAUCCCUAGAUCAAGCCCCGACGGCCCUUUGGAUCCACGACGUUAACAAAUCUGCACAACUGUUUAUCCCCGACGGCCCUUUGGACCAACAACAUCAAAUCCACCCAUUGCAAAGAUAGAAUCAGAGGCUAAAUUUGUAGAAGAGAUUGUAACCCCUAAAUCAUCAAUACAAAUAUUAUUUUGUACACGUGUUUCUUGUCUCUUUCAUCGCAGGAAUUUCCGUGUUUACAAAUUUGGCACGCCCGGUGGGAUCAUCUCUACCUCUCAUCUCUAUCUUUGAAUCCGCAAAAAGCAAAAAUGGCAUCAAAGAAGGCUCAAGUUGUUCUCGCAGCCAAUGCAAGGAACAAGAGCGUCAUCACCGCAGGCGGUGUCACUUAGGGCAUCACAACUCGAAGCAAGGCAAGAGCUCUUUCUGCCGCCUCUUCCACCCCUGCAUCAACUCCACCGAAGGAACAAGAGCACCUGAGGCACGAACCCGUGAUCACCCUGGCCUCGCUAAGGGCGCCAAGGAAGGAAAGCCCAAUGAAGUACUCUGGUUGCAUGUUUUCUGAUACCGACUCAAGCGGUAACUCAGCCAUGCAAGUCAUGACUACUGGAGCGACUUCAAUCGAUGAACAGCUGGCUCAUAUGAAUGAAGCGAUCGCAAGGCUAACACGGAUUGUGGAAGAAAAUGACCAACAAAUCGCCGCACUAGUCAACCAACUAGACGUAAAGCCCGACGUAAAAAUCGAGCAAGGGGAUGAUUCAGUAAAGAAGGAAAACGACGAGGAUGAAGAGCCUCCGGUGGAGAAAAUCGAUGUGAAGCCGGAGCCAGGCCAAGCAGCGGCAUUCAUGGGAUCUCUUUCUAUCUAACAGCUGCAAGAGAUGAUCACCAACACCAUCAAGGCGCAGUACGAAAGGAGCUCACAUACCUCAUCGUUCUACUCAAAGCCCUACUCCAAGAAGAUUGAUGCCUUAAAGAUGCCAAAGGGUUAUCAACCACCAAAGUUUAUGCAGUUUGAUGGAAAAGGAAACCCGAAGCAACAUGUCGCACAUUUCGUCAAAACCUGCAACAAUGCAGGGACGGAAGGAGAUUACCUCGCCAAGCAGUUUGUGCGCUCGUUAAAAGGAAACGCCCUUGAGUGGUACAUAGACCUGGAGCCCGAAUCCAUCAACAGCUGGGAACAGUUGGAAAGGGAAUUCCUCAACCGCUUCUACAGCAUCCGCCGCACCGUGAGCAUGCUAGAGCUGACAAGCACGAAGCAAUGGAGGGAUGAGCCAGUCGUGGACUACAUCAACUGAUGGCGCAAUCUGAGCCUCGAUUGCAAGGACAGGCUCUCGGAGAUCUCUUCGAUUGAGAUGUGCGUCCAAGGCAUGCAAUGGGGGUUACACUAUAUCCUUCAAGGCAUCAAACCACGGACAUUUGAAGAGUUAGCCACCCGUGCCCACGACAUGGAGCUAAGUAUUGCCCAUCAUGGGAAGAAAGAGCCGAUCACCAACUUCAAGAAGGAUAAAGUGUUCUCCCCAAAUGUAGACAAGAUUGGGAAGAAACCCCCCAAGGAAGCGUUCACCGUCAGCACUGCGCCCGUCAAGACCGCCUCCGCGCCUAUCAAGAUCUCCUCCAAAACCAAAGCAAAGGAGAUAAAGAAAAGUGAGCCUCCUCGCACCCAAGAAAGGUACAAAAGCACCUUGAGGGAAUUGGAGCAGAAGGUAUACCCUUUUCCUGACUCAGACAUGGAUGCAAUGUUAGACAACUUGCUAGAAAAGAAGGUAAUCGAGCUACCCGAAUGCAAGCGGCCUGAAGAAAUGAAUCGUAUAAACGAUCCUAAAUACUACAAGUACCAUCGAAUCGUGAGCCAUCCUGUGGGUAAAUGCUUCGUCCUCAAAUAGCUCAUCAUGAAGCUAGCACAACAAGGGCGAAUCGAGCUCGACCUCGAAGACACGGCCGCGACACAUACUACUACAAUUGCAUUUGGAUCUUUCGAUCCCGUGCCUCUCCAAGCAGCACCUGACCAUUCAUAUCAAUGCUCAAGUUACACGAUACCUUCUGCGCAACCAUCACCGGGGGCAAACGAACAAGAUGCACAUGCCGAUGAUGAAGAAGGAUGGACAUUGGUGACCUACAAAAAAACAAGGAAACCAAAACCACAAGCCAUAAGACAAAAGGUGGAACAUGUGAGAAAGCACCGUCGCCGCAACAGUAGGAAGCCCAAAAGAAACGUAAAAGUUGAUAAGCCAAUGUAUGCUGGGGAACCUAUGGAGCAAGAGCCACGCAUUCAUGUCUCAUUGCAUGAGUACUUCCCGAAUGACUUAUUCCAACAGUGCACUAUCGCUGCAUGCCACAUGGUCGAAGUAGAAAUAGAAGAACCUUCAAAAGGUAAAGAUAUCACCACUGAGGGAGGAAAAAUUCUCACGUUCGAAGAAGGUCUGCCAACACACUUUAGCAUUGAGGAAGCGUUACGAUUACCAAAGAAGAUGCGAAUAGCAUUAGCAGCGGUCUUGGAAAGUCCCAAUGACCACGAAGUGCAAGAAAGCAAGAACGAAGGCUUCAAGCUUCGGCCACAUGAAUAUGCCACAUGCUGUGCCAUCGAGGACACAAUCCAUUUCACCGAUGAAUAUGCCACAUGCUGUGCCAUCGAGGACACAAUCCAUUUCACCGACGAAGACUUGUGGAUGGUGGAUCAGCCAUAAACAUCAUGCCAAAGUCAACAAUGACUAAAAUCGGCAUCAAGGCGGAUGAACUGUCCUUAAGUCGUCUACUAAUCCAAGGUUUUAAUCAAGGAGGACAAAAAGCGAUGGGCAUGAUCCGAGUGGAGAUGACUAUUGGUGAGCUCAAGUCAAGCACGAUAUUCCACGUGAUUGAUGCAAGAACUUCCUACGGUUUGCUCUUAGGAAGGCCUUGGAUCCAUGCAAAUGGAGUAGUACCGUCCACCCUUCACCAAUGCUUGAAAUUCUACCGAGAAUGAGUGAAGGUGAUCUAUGGCGACACCAAACCAUUCACCGAAGUCGAAUCACAUUUCGCAGACGCCAAGUUCUAAAUGGAUGAAGACAUGGUGCUCGAAGCUCUUCCAAAAGAGAUCAAAUCCACGGGUAAAGCAACACCUAAAAAGCAGGAGUGGCAAGCCAUUCCCAAGAAGCAAGAAGAAUAAGCCAUGUCAUCUUCAAGCAAGAACGAUAAUGAGCUUGCUAAACCUGUAACAACCAAAGGGAGUAGGACGCCUUCAAAUGUACUAAACACACCCGUUUUCUGAUACAUCCCGAUGUCAAGAAGAAAGAAUGGUCAAUCCCCAUUCGAAACCGAAGCAAGCAAAGCCGAUGCACAACGGUACAUGGAUAAUGUAAAGUUGCUCAAAACGAAUGCAGUGUUACCUCUGACACAGCUAAGCAACGCUAAGGUUGCAAGACUACCACAAGGUUUCGUAAAAGCUCUACCAAAAGGGGUGGAACCAAGCUUUCUCCCAACCAAGAGGACCGAAGAAGGUUUUGAUCCAAACGCCUACAAACUCAUGUCAAAAGCUGGGUACGACUUCGCUUCUUCUUCGAAUCCUGGAAAAAAGGUUUCAAACACAGUCAACAAUAAAGAACAUGACCUCACUGAGACUCAAAAGAAGUUGAAGAAGCAUGGUUACGGAAUUAACAACAACAAAGCUGGACUUGGCUUCACACCAAAUGCACCCGUGAAGAUUUCAAGCAAAGCGAAAAAUGCUAGCACUCAACACAUUAAUGUGAGCAUUGAACAAGAUUGAUAUGAGCCUAAAUCCGCCCCUCAAACGCCAAUCUUCGAUAGGAUGAAACGUUCAAGACCCAGAACGUCAGCCCUUGAUCACAUUGGUGGUCAAAACCGAACCUCCGUCUUCAAGAGGCUUAACAGGCCAACAUCCCGAAGCUCUAUUUUUGAAAGGUUGUCAAAACCUAAUAAGCAAAGCAACACGGCUAUCUCUCCUCCUCGUCAGUCAGCUUUGGAAAGACUUGAAGACAACAUGAAGUUUUCUGGAAAUAGGGAAACAACGUCAAAGGAAGAAAAGCUUGACAGGCUAGCAGAAAAAGGUGACAUUCGAAGCUCAAUUCCUUCAAGGAUGAAACGUCAAGCAAUCUUAGAGGUUGACGCAAAUGGACCACUGAUAGUAAGAAGGCGCACCAUCAUCCAUACUGGACAAUCUGCAUACCAACAAACUCAAGAGGACGACACUAAAGAGGAAGUCCAAGAUGUCUUCCACAUCACGAUCCAAGAAGGCAAAGAAGACGAGACCCCUGAAGAAGAUGUCACUGCUGCACCACCACAACUUGAGGAUGGGGGGCAAGCCACGGUUGACGAUUUCAAGGAGCCCAACUUGGGCACAAAAGAGGUGCAAAAACCUAUCUUUGUAAGUGCACUGCUAAGAGCAGACGAGAUAGAGGAGUACUACCAACUGCUAUCAGAGUACAAAUACGUCUUUGCCUGGACUUACAAAGAAAUGCCUGGCCUUGACCCUGUCAUCGAUGUGCAUCAUCUUGCAGUCAAGCCUGGAACACGACCAAUAAAGCAAACUUAAAGGAGCUAUCGAUCCGAGCUCAUUCCACAAAUCGAGGCAGAGAUUGACAAGCUAAUCGAAGCAGGAUUCAUUCGAGAGGUGCAAUACCCCAAAUGGAUUUCCAACAUCAUCAUCGUCCUUAAGAAAUCUGGACAAAUACGUGUUUGCGUAGACUUCCGGGACCUCAACGACGCUUGUCCGAAGGACGACUUCCCCUUGCCAAUCAUCGAAAUCAUGGUGGACGCAACCACUGGCCACGAGGCACUGUCAUUCAUGGACGGCUCUUCUGGAUACAAUCAAAUUCGUAUGGCUCUCGAAGAUGAGGAACUAACAGCAUUCCGCACUCCAAAAGGUAUCUACUGUUACAAGGUGAUGCCCUUUGGUCUAAAGAACGCUGGAGCUACAUAUCAACGAGCAAUGCAGAAAAUCUUUAAUGACAUGCUACACAAGAACGUAGAAUGUUAUGUGGACGAUAUGGUGGUCAAAACAAAGAAAAUAUCAGAUCACUUGAAGGAUUUACGAGUAGUGUUCGAAAGGCUGCGAAAAUACAAACUCAAGAUGAACCCGUUAAAAUGUGCGUUUGGCGUCACCUCCGGAAAGUUCCUCGGCUUCAUUGUCAAGCACCGUGGUAUUGAAGUGGACCAAUCAAAAAUCAAGGCCAUUCAAAGCAUGCCUGAGCCAAGAAACCUUCAUGAGCUGAAAAGUCUACAAGGACGGCUUGCCUUCAUCAGACGUUUCAUCUCUAACCUUGCAGGGCGUUGUCAACCGUUCAGCCGACUCAUGAAGAAGGAUGUUCCGUUUAUAUGGGACGAAGCAUGCCACAAUGCUUUUGAAAGCAUAAAAAAGUAUUUGUCAAGUCCACCUGUCUUGGGGGUGCCUGUGCCCGGGAAACCACUCAUAUUGUACAUCGCCGCUCAGGAAAGUUCAGUUGGAGCACUAUUGGCGCAAGAGAAUGAAUCCCAUAAAGAAUGAGCGCUUUACUACCUUAGCCAAACCCUCACCGGCGCCGAGUUGAACUACUCCCCAAUAGAAAAGAUGUGCCUUACCUUGGUGUUCGCCAUCCAGAAACUCAGGCAUUACAUGCAUGCUUACACCAUCCACUUGGUUGCAAAAGCUGACCCGGUCAAAUACGUCUUGUCCAAACCCGUCUUGACAGGGCGACUCGCUAAAUGGGCGCUGCUUCUUAACCAAUAUGAGAUCAUCUACGUCCCAGCUAAAGCCGUAAAGGGACAAGCGCUGGCAGACUUUCUUGCCGAUCACCCAAUCCCAGCUAAUUGGAAAAUCUCAGACGACUUGCCUAACGAGGAAGUGUUCUACAUCGACAUCUUCCCGACAUGGACGAUGUUCUUCGACGGAUCUGAACGAGUAGACGGAGCAGGGGCAGGAGUAGUAUUCAUGUCGCCGCAAAGGCAUAUAUUACCUUAUUCCUUUCAACUAAGCGAAUUAUGCUCCAACAAUGUCGCUGAGUACCAAGCACUGAUCAUCGGACUCCAAAUGGCGAUCAAUAUGGGAAUCACAGCCCUUGAGAUAUUUGGCGACUCCAAGCUCAUAAUCAAUCAACUCUUAACUGAAUAUGAGGUGAAGAAAGAUGAUCUCAUCCCAUACUUUCGGCUGGCAACUCAACUGUUACAAGAGUUUGAGACUGUGACACUAGAGCAUGUGCCAAGAAAAGAAAAUUAAAUGGCAGACGCUCUUGCCAACCUAGCCUCAAGCAUGACAUUAGGAGAAGAUGAAGCUGCAGACGUGCCAGUCUGCCAAAGAUGGAUGAUCCCCCUCGUCACUGAAAUUCUACUAGAUGAUACAAAUGUCAUCUCAGUACUUCCAGUCGAUGUUGAAGAGUGGAGACAACCGCUGAUUGAUUACUUAGAGCAUGGAAAACUUCCAGAUGAUCCUAAACACCGCUCCGAAAUACGUCGACGAGCACCUCGCUUCCUCUAUUACAAAGAAACACUUACCGAUGCUCUUUCGAAGGAGUACUUCUAAGAUGCCUAGGCGAGGAAGAAGUUAAUUAAGCCAGGGAAGAAGCACACUCAGGCGUAUGCGGAGCGCAUCAAUCUGGACCAAAGCUACAUUUCCAGCUCAAAAGAAUGGGUUACUACUGGCCAAGCAUGGUGAAGGACUGCCUGGAACAUGCCAAAAGGUGCCAAGCCUGCCAAUUCCACGCCAACUUCAUACACCAACCACCUGAGCCAUUACACCCUACAGCUGCUUCAUGGCCAUUCGAUGCAUGGGGAUUGGACGUCGUAGGACCAAUUACUCCGAAAUCAUCUGCAGGAGAAGCUUACAUCCUAGCUGCAACAGAUUACUUCUCCAAGUGGGCUGAAGCCAUACCUCUAAGGGAAGUAAAGAAGGAAACUGUCGUCCGUUUCAUCAAUGAGCACAUCAUCCACCGAUAUGGGGUGCCUCGCUACAUCGUCACUGACAACGGAAAUCAAUUCUCCAACUGACUCGUGGAUGAGCUAUGUGAGAAAUACAAGUUCAAGCAGCACUAGUCUUCCAUGUAUUAUGCCCCGGCCAACGGUCUUGCAGAAGCAUUCAACAAAACAUUGUGCAAUCUCUUAAAGAAGGUGAUCGGUCGAACAAAGAGAGACUGGCAUGAAAGAAUAAGCGAAGCACUUUGGGCAUAUCGGACGACACAUAGGACUCCUACCCAAGCUACGCCUUAUUCUCUUGUAUAUGGCGUGGAAGCUGUUCUAUCGCUCGAAAGUCAAAUCCCCUCACUGAGAAUGGCUAUACAAGAAGGUUUGACUGAGAAGGAGAAUGCAAAGUUGCGCCUUCAAGAGUUGGAAGCACUCGACGAAAGAAGGCUCGAAGCUUAACAACACUUGGAAUGCUACCAAGCACGGCUAUCCAAGGCAUUCAACAAGAAGGUCCGCCCACGGUCUUUCCAAACUGGAGAUCUCGUCCUCGCAUUGCGUAGGCCUAUCAUCACAAUUCACAAGACGAAAAGCAAGUUCACAUCAAAGUGGGAUGGACCAUACGUAAUACAAGAGGUUUACACCAACGGCGCCUACUUAAUCAUGGCAGAAGACGGCUUGAAGAUUGGCCCUAUCAAUGGAAGAUUCUUGAAGCGCUACUACCCCUAAAAGGCGACAACCAAAGCUCCUGGCCCGCAAGAGCAUAAACUGUGUACGGCAAAAUCAUCAGAAAAAAAAAUGCAUUUGAACUACGUUAUGACUUGAUCUCUCCUCAACAGAGGGUACGUAGGCAACUUGAAACGUCAAAUUAAAGAAUGAAGAGCAAAUUCAAGAAUGUAAAUACUUUAUUUCUUUGAAAGAAGGAGUCGGCUUUAAAAGCCAUAUUACAAAAAAAAAAAAAAAAAAAAAAAAAAAGAUACUACUUGAAAACUAUGUCCCUAAAACUACGAAGACGAUCUUCAAGCAAGCUUUCCAAAGUCUUCAAAGUCUCUACCUCGGUGGGAGACAAGAUGGGCAACUCCAUAGUCAUGCAUUUCUCUCAUUCUAGGCGUGAAAUCUCCUCCUGGUACUGAGAAAGUGUAGUUCCUUGCUCCGCGAGAACACUUUCAAGUUGCGAUGCUUCGAUUACCAACUGCUCUCUCUCUCUUGCCAACGUAUCUAGACACACCUGGACAUAAGAUAAAGAAGUUUUUGUAACUUGAUAAUCUCCCGAAACAGCUUGCUGAGAAGACUGGACUUGAGCCAGUGAUGAGUUUAUUAUUGCUAGCUGAUGAGCUCUAACAUCUGGACUCAACUUCUCCAAGAAAAUGGCACGCAAAGAAGAAUACUCAGUCGAGGCGGCCAUAAGCUCGGCAAUCUUGAUCUUCAAGGAUGAAGAGUCAAUGUUAAGGUUGUCAAUAACAGAAACAAGCUUCGACAAAUCCUCAUUAAGCAACAUAAGGUCUUCCAACGGGCACUUAGAAAUCCUCUCCUCUAUAUGGCUCUUGACAUCCAUUGCCGCACUAAGACUGAUGCGAUGGAUGACUUGCUCAGUACCGCUAAGGUUCGGCCCUCUCAAAGAGAUCUCAGAGCUAGCUGGCAAAGGUGUUGGACACAUGACGGGUUCCUGUAUACCUUCACCUACACAUGGCAAACUUGGGAAGUUCAGCGGAUUUGGAACAAGCUCUGCACCAGGCGGAUCCCCGAUCUCCCUGUCUGUAGGUAGUUUGCCCGUAAAUAGCAUCUCCGUACAGGAAUAAACAUCUGCAGUUGCCAAAUCAAAAGAACAAGAAGGCCCAACCUAAAGAAGACAAAGAAAGAUGUUAGAAACGAAAGUAAAAUAAUGAAAUCAUAAGAAAUCACGAGAGGGAAUGAAGUACAUACAUCUCUCUCAAAUGGCACACAGUCAUCGAGUAGAGGAUGUCUAAACACUUCUUUCUUCUUAUGAUGAAAAUUGACAUCGCUGUCAACCUGAGCAUCCUCAAGUGGUCGCUUGUGAGUCAACUUCAUCUCCCGCCUCUUCAGAAGCAUCCGGAUGUCGAGGAGACAAGCAUGGGCGUUGAGGAGCUAAAGCUACAGGUCUAUCUUGUAAGGGAGCCGCACUGGUGCAAUCAAGAGCUACCGCUUGCAUAGGAACCACAUGACAGCCCUCUCUCGACAUAUCAUUGCCCGAGUAAGAAGAAUUGGUACCACUUGCCAUCCCCAAGUUCUUAUAAUAUAACUUUGACCACCAACGAGCAUAAACACGGGUCACUAGAUUACUCUUGAACUCGUCUUUGACUGGCAGCGUGAUAACAGCAUUUGUACGUGCACGGGUACAAGACUCCCAAUGCAUAUACACAGCCUGCAAGGAUGCUGAUUGGUUCUUUUCCUUUAGCUUGCCUGGCAAGUUUUGGACAAAACCAAAUUGCCUGCUGAAACGGUGAGGACUAUAUGGCUGAACAAUGCACCGGUCUUCUUGCCGCAAAGAAACAAACCCCGAACGAAGACUUAUAAGAUAAGACAAGUCUGACGAGCGGAGAUGUGAAUUGUCUACGAUUGCUCGCCGCGCCGAGCCAACUCUCGCUAAAGGGUCCAUCCUCAAAUCUUCAUAACUUUCAAAUAGCGCUCGUGCCUGCAAAUCAUCAAGGCCUUUCGCUGAAAGCACACCAGAAUACUUCGUCAUCAAAGUCCCCAUCUUGGCUGCAGUCGAUGAAGAAGGCCUUGACUUGUCUAGAGCCGGCAAAGAAAAGUGAGUGCCAAAAUAUUCACCCAACCAACCAUACACAUAGUGGUAAGGAAACACCGCAGCACGAUCUUCAGUGCUUGCCGAGUUCGAAACAAUGCUCAAGCCAUUGUAAAUGUUGGCUAAAACCGGAAUAGCAAGGCUAAAAGACUCACCUGCAGCCAUCUUGCUAGCAAUUUUGAAAACUCCAAGACGAACUAAGUUGACGUCGCCUGUCGGGAAAACAAAUUUACAAAGCCAACAAGCUAAAAAAGCAGCUAGGUAAGACUCAUCCACAUGCUCUGAUACUAUGCCAAGAUCCUCAAACGCUCUCAACUCGUCAGAAGAGCAACGCCUGGUUGAGCCAAUAACACCAGACGGGUCUGAGUCUCCAUUUGGCCUAGUGGUCUUGUUACGACAACUUUUCUUCGAAUACCUCUUAUACCUCAUGGCCUCCCAGUACCAAAAUUGGAUCCAUGAGGAAAUCCUCACGCCUGAUUUACCUUGAGCAUCCUGGAAAAGCUUGUGAUACGCCCAAAACAAAUAGCGGCAACUCGCAGGUAAUCCUCGGCUAUUGCAAAGAGAAAGUUCCUCCGCGUUGGGAACGACCUCGUCAUAAAACUUACCAUGGAUCGGCAAGCCUAUCCUAUGAAGAUCCCACAGUGAAAUUGACAUCUCCCCUUGCGCCGUGUGAAGUGUGUUGGUCCCUGAACAUUAAUGCUCAAAGAACGCUCGAAGGACGGAAUGAUGACAAUCAUAACUAAACAAAGAUGCGUACACAACGUGGUAAAGGCCCAUUUUAGUAGCACAUCUUUAGAUCGGCUUAAGACAUCUUCAAGCCACUCCCAAUAAAGCUCAUCAAAGACGGCUUCUCCAGUAGUCGACAGGGUACCAUUCCAAGCCAUGGCUCCGCUGCGAAUGUGAUCACCAAGAAGCUUAAACAAGGCCGGGUGAUGGUCACGAGCAUGGUGCGAAUGAUUCAAAAUAAGAACCCUCAAUGUGCACGCCUUUUUCUUCGUAAUUGGUUGAACAGUGUCUACCACCUCCCAAGAUACUUCAGAAGACCAUGACUUAAUAUGCAUGGAAUUGUCUUUCACGGGAAAAGAAAGCGCCUUAGGACCAGUUAGAGGGCAGGUAAAGCUUCAACGUUGUUCCCUCAUCUUGUGAAUCGCCUUCCUUUGCAAGAAUGGUGAUGGUGUUGUUCCUAAAACAUUUGAAAAAUACCAUGACCACAAAUCAGCCACAAAACUUGAGCAGCACGACGAAGAUGGCAGCUACAGGAUGGUCCUUCAAGGCACGUUACAGUGGCAAAAGAAACCAAAAUGUUACGCAAUCGCACUACGCAAACCCGCAGCGAUUACGUAAGCAGUUUCUCGUACCACACGACAGCGCGCCACCAAGGGAAAACUGUGGUAAAAAAGGCACUACACAGCGAAACCUCGUUGCAGUCUUUUACACAAGCACACCCACGGCCUGCUACCACGGCUCUAAAAGCUUUGCGAAGAUCCUGGCGUCAAGCUCUGCCUUCUCAAGAUUAAAAAUAAAUAAAAAAAAAUUCCUGACAUUACAAACAAAGAAAUCCAUCAAUAGGGACACACACAUUGUACGUUAUAUAUAUAUAGACAUAUGUGUGCAUGGUUUGGUGAUGGGACAAGUGCACAAAAUGGAGAUGGUGACAAGACGAUCAACCUCAACAUAUAUAUAUAAGGACGCAAAUGGUGAUGGUGAUGGGACAAAUAUAUAUAUACAUAUAUGCAUGGCUCUAAAGAUGGAAAUUGUAUGCACGGCUCAAAAGACAUAUAUAUAUAUCUAUAUAUAUACACACACACACACACACACAUGUGACUCACCAAGUAAAAGGAGCAUGAAGGAAUUACAAAGGGCAAAGCACAUUAUAUUACAUAUGUAUGCACGGUGAUAAAGCAAACUGCAACGGUAAUAAAGCAAACUGCAACAACGAUAAAGCAAACUACAACAGCAGCCUUCCGUAUAUAUAUAUAUAUAUAUAUACACAUAUAUAUACUCAAGUGACUCACCAAGUAAAAGCAGCAAUGCAGGAUUGCUGGACAAUGGUGCAGUGGUGAUGCAAGGCAACAAGCAAUGCAGUGGCUGAAGCUGUGUAAUGAGUGUACAAGCAAAUGAGCAAUCCCACAUAUAUAUAUAUAUAAAGGUCCCAGGAGAAGCAAAUGAAAUGCUGUGGCUAUUCAAAACGCAGGUCCGUGACUGUGCAAACUGUGCAAAUGACCACCCGUGCCUGGAAAAGAAAAACCAAAAUGAGAGGUGAUAUGAUGGUGCAUUGGGAAAAUAUGAUUGUGUACAAAAAAGAAAGUGCCAAUAUGAUUGUGUACAAAAAAGAAAGUGCCAAAAAAAAAAAAAAAAAAAGGUGAAAGAAUAGUGCAUUAGUCACCAUCUAAAAGGAAAUGGAUGUGUCAAGCACCAUCUUAAAAAAAAUAUAUAAAAAAAAAGGGUGAAAGAAUAGUGCAUUAGUCACCAUCUAAAAGGAAAUGGAUGUUUCAAGCACCAUCUAAAUAAAAAAUAAAAAAAAUAAAAAAAUAAAAAAAAUAAAAAAAAAGAAGAAAAAGAAGGAAGUAACGCAUUUUAGUCAGAUAUACAUUUUAUUUGUAUUUAGCACAACAUACUGAAUAAAAUAAAGCAUGUCUAUUGAUAUCUUUAAAAAAAUUACAAGUGUGUAAAAAAAAAAAAAAAAAGUCAAAUCAAAUUUACAGGAAGGGAUCUUCAAGGAUGAUCAGGUGGCGCCUCAUCACUCGGCGGAGCUCCAGAAAGACGAAGCACCAGAGAUUGAUUAUCCGGAGCUUCAACACUUGGUGAAGCGCCAGAGGACGAAGGCAGAAGUUGCCGCUGGAGUAACGCCACAAACCUCUGAUGAUCACUCUGAAUCCGAACUUCGGACUCCUGCAGCUAGUCAAGCUUCCUCUUCAUGCUUGUUGAGUAAUUAGUUGCGAGCAUGUGCAACUCUUUAUUCUCGUGCCUAAGCACCCUAACCUCUUGCCGAAGACUGGCCACCUCAGCCAUCAACGACUCAACCUGACGAGAUCGAGCAAGAAGGCGUUGGCCCAUGUUUGAAACUGAACCUGCACAUCGGACACUGUAGGCUAGAGAGUCCUGAACAGCCAGCUCGUCCGAUCGCCUGGAAAUUAUCCUAGUGUCUCUAGGAGUGAGAAGAUUUCUGGCCACCACCGAAGCGGUUGUAUCGUUCAUCAUCAUAGAAUCCCCAACUGUAAGAGGACCAUUGGGAGAUACGAAGGACGGCUGCCAAAUGUUGUUUGAAGAAGAUAUGUCACUAUCUUCCCCGACAUUCAAGUUAAGACGACGGUCAGAAGGGCAAGACAUUUUCGAAGGUGUGAUGAAAAAGAAGAGGUCGGACAAAUCAAGUUCUUAGAAAUGCAAGUAGGGAGCUUCUACAGGUGGAAAAUUCAAGUGUGCUUUGGAAUGUGAUGCGUGCCUCUCUUUUAAAAUCAGCACUCGACGGAGCUUCAGAAAUCGAAGAGGCAAGCUCAGAGAUCGAAGAGACGUCUGCUUUCUCAAAAGCUGGGCUGCUCAGAAACCACGGGCCGAUCUCAGAUAUCGAAGAGGCGCCAGUCUUUUUUUAGCCUCGUCAGCACCUAUCACAUGCACACUCAGCUUUGCGAAAAUCACUGAUAAUUUGUCGAAGCGCCGAUCUCAGAUAUCGAAGAGGCGCCAGUCUUUUUCAGCCUCGUCAGCACCUGUCACAUGCAGACUUAGUUUUGCAGAAAUUACGGGCAAUUUGUCGAAGAUUUCUGAUAAAGAAGAAAGCGCGUAGAGCCAUACUGAUCAAUCACUCAAUGGUUGCCAACACGAGUGAAAGAAUAGUACCUCUACAGGUAUUAAAGAACUUCCUAUAAUUGUCCACCUACACCGUCCAUAGCAAGGCAGACUUGCAAAAAUGCCCAACCCUUCCUCAUUUCCAAGAGUACACUCCCAGCAGAGCCUCUCGAAAUACCCAGUUUUCUUCCUCUCCUGGAGUACCUCUGCAAAUAAAUGACACCAAAGCAAAAGUAUCUCAUAUCACCAGGGUAGUAAGUAAGAGUAUCUCAUAUCAUGUUUUUUCCCUGUCCUUUCUUUUGUCCUUGUUCUUACCUGCAAAGACAAGGAUAAAGAAAGCAAUAUGUCGGAACCUCCACUCAAACUCCGGGCAAGGAACCGACUACCAAGAACCUUUGCCUGGUUGAUUACCUGGCUUUGCUCUUGAGUACUCGUCUUCAGUUGCUGAUGUACUUCCGAAGAAGAUGCCAUAUUUGCCCGGAGAACAGAUAAGGCAAGUGAAAAUGAUACCUUGAAGCAUAUGGAGACAACAUGCUGAUUUCCUUCAAGAUCAAGUCUCCCCUUCCUUGUACAAUCAACCAACCCAGCAGAAUGAGUCUAAGUUGAAUCCAAGAGCUCGAGAAGUUUCAACAAACAUAUUGGCAGCACCAUCGUCGAAGAACAAAGCCUCGCUGUGCAACGUUGUCAAAUCGCCACCACUUCUUUGAAAGCAAGAGUAUUUCAUAUCAUGCUUUCUCCCUAUUCUUUUCUUUGUCCUUGUUUUUACCUGCGGGACAAGGAGAAAGAAAGCAAUCAGACAGUACUUGGUAUCAAACUUCCAAUCUGGAACCAACUGCUUGGAACCCUUCCCUGAUUGCUUACCUAGCACUGUUCUCGAAGUACCCAUUGUUUCAACUUCAUAUGCUUCUAGAGAAAAUACCACAUCUGCCUGAAGAACAGAUAAGGCAAGGGAAAAUGAUACAUUGAAGCAUGUAGAGACAAGCACAACAAAACACGAGUCGAUUCAUCCGUUACUUCUUCAAAAUCAAAAGUAUCUCAUAUCAUUAGGGUUGCAAUCACUCUGGGUUUGGUGGACCUGUUUCGACCCUCAAAUUCUUGGGUCGACCCGCUAGACGUUGUGAGCUACACGUGCCGAUUUACCACCCUUGAAUCAAAUCCUUAAAGAUUAAGUCACCAACUGGAAGAAGCGCCCAUCAACCUUGAAGAUCAUACCGUUAACCAAACUGCUCAGGGUUCAUAUGAAAAUGCUGCAAACUUCCUUGAUCUUUCAAAGCAGGCAUGUCCUGAAACUGCUCGUGGUCAUGUUUAAGUUCGAGAUCAAGCCUUGACAGCCUUUAAAGAAAUUACAAGUCCGAUUCAAGAUCAAGUGUCCAUCACCCUUGAAUCAAAUCCAGCUCAAGAUUAAGUCUGUGGAAAGUCCCUUGGGGGAAACCAGAAAACCCUCCAACCCAGUUCAAGAAUACGCUGUGGAAAGUCAACAAUUGGAGGAAACCAGAAAAUCCUCCAACCCAGUUCAAGAAUAAGCCUGUGGAAAGUCAACAAUUGGAGGAAACCAGAAAAUCCUCCGAACUAGUUCAAGAUCAAAGCUGUGGAAAGUCAAUAAGCGCAACAAAAUACGUGCCGAUUCACCCAUUACCAAAGCAAAAGAUCAUCUACCACAUGAAGUUCCUUGUGGUCCAAUUUCAACCUUCAAGAUCAAGCCUCAACGAUCUUUGAAGAAUUUCAAACAAAGUUCAAGAUCAAGCCCCAACGGCCCUUGAAGAAAUCACCAACCCAGUUCAGAUCAAGCCUCAACGGCCCUUGGAUCAACAUCUGCAGUAAGGGACUUCAAAACGCAUCUUGUACAUGUGACAAGCACAUGUAUACGACGCGCCUUGAAGUGGGGGCAUUUGUAGACAUCGAAAUUUCGGUAAAAUAAAUGUUGAUCAAUAAUUAAAAUUUCAAUGUUUAUGUGUCACAUAAAUUUUACACAUAGCAUGUGACUAAACGAAAAAUCAAAAUAAAUCGGAAAAGUCAUCAAACAAGACACGUGUCAACACCUGGCAGAAAUGAUUUAUUUCAUCUAAUUAUUUAAAUCCAAAAAAUCAAGUUUUGGAAUUCUAUAAAUAGGAGGCCAAGGCAUUCAUUUUGGGACACCAAUUCAUAACCAAUUCACCUCAUACCACAACCUUGAAGCUUUGAAACUCAAAAGCUCCCAAGCAAAUCCCGAAGGAUCAAGAGAGCUCUCUUCGUUCUUCGUCAAAUCCUCAUUCAAAAUCAAGCCUCAAUGGCCCUUGAAGAACUUCCGCUGAUUCAAGAUCAAGCCCCGACAGCCCUUGAAGAAAGUGUCCAUCGUUCAUCAUUCGUUCAUCCCUAGAUCAAGCCCCGACGGCCCUUUGGAUCCACGACGUUAACAAAUCUGCACAACUGUUUAGCCCCGACGGCCCUUUGGACCAACAACAUCAAAUCCACCCAUUGCAAAGAUAGAAUCAGAGGCUAAAUUUGUAGAAGAGAUUGUAACCCCUAAAUCAUCAAUACAAAUAUUAUUUUGUAUACGUGUUUCUUGUCUCGUUCAUCGCAGGAAUUUCUGUGUUUACAGUUUGUUUUUUACAAUUUAUUACAUAUGCAAUCUCGGAGUGUGUACAAAUAAGUUUUGCGGUUGGAUCGUUGAAAAACGUUUUGUAGAAUACAUAUCGCGUAAAAACGGUAGAUUAAACAAACACUUAAGAGUUAAUAUUAUACUUCCAUCAAGUAUAAAGUAAGAUUUGUGGUAUCCACUAGUGUAAAUAUUUUAAAUUGAAGAUCAAAUUUAUUCAUUGCAUUCUUAUAGGGUCGAGGAGUGUAGCUGUUAAAAAUCAUUAACAUCGGAGCUAAAAUAACUGUUAAAUUGUGAUUUUUUGUUUAUAAUCGUCGAAAACUUUUGUUCCGUUACGUUAUCUCUGAAUGUUUGUUUUUUACGAUUUUUAAUGUAUGCAAUCUCGGAGUGUGUACAAAUAAGUUUGAUGGUUGGAUCGUUGAAAAAAGUUUCGUAGAAUGCAUAUCGCAUCAAAACGGUAUAUUAAACAAACACUUAGAGUUAAUAUUAUACUUCCAUUAGUGUAAAUAUUUUAAAUUGAAGAUUGAAUUCGUUCAUUGCAUUCUUAUAGGGUUGAAGAGUGUGGCUGUAAAAAAUCAUCAAAACUUGAGCUAAAAUAACCGUUAAAUUGUGAUUUUUCGUUUAUAACCGUUGAAAACUUUUGUUUCGUUACAUAAUCUUUGAAUUUUUUUUUUUUUUUUUUUUUUUUUUGCGAUUUUUUACAUAUGCGAUCUUGUAGUAUCUAUAAACAAGUUUGACGGUUAGAUCAUGGAAACUAGUUUUGUAGAAUGCAUAUCUCUGUUAAAUUUGCCUAAAUUUUGAAGUGGGAAAAAUAAUUUGUGCUAAAUUUUUAUUUAUGUUUUUCAAGUAUUGAUUAGACAAUAUUUAGUUUGUGAGAUGACAUUUUCAUUGUACAGUUAUCUUUCUGAUUAGACAAUAUUUAGUUUGUGUGAUGACAUUUUCAUUGUACAAUUAUCUUUUUGUUUCUUUAUUGCAUAUUUUACAUGUGUUAUUAUCUAUUAAACCAAACAAUUAUUUAUUUAAUUUUAAAAACCUAUUUAAUUUAAAUACAUAUUAUUUAUUUAUUUAUUGAACCAAACAAUUAUUAUUUUAUUUUUUAAAAUAGAAACAAAAUUUUGGGGGGAAAUUUAAAAUUUUGGAAGGGAAUUUAAAAUUUUGGGAGGGAAUUUUGGGGGGAUUUUUGUCGCCAUUUUGUUUAUGUCGGUUAUAACCGACAGUAAUGAAAAUGUUUAUGUCAGUUUUUAUUUUAAAAAAUAUUUCUGUCGGUUUUAACCGACAGUAAUGAAAAUAUUCCAAAAUAAAACCCUUCCCCCUUCCUUCAUUUCCCAUUUUUGUCGUUGAGCUCUUAUGACACACCCCGUCCCGAAGGAGGGCAUGCUGGCCGUCACGUGAGAGUGACGUAACCAUUUGCACAGUACGAAAGCUUUAAGAUACAAUUUAAAUUGAUACACCCGAAGGUGAGUCCUAAUUUUGUCCAAUCUGUCAGAACACCGUCGAAUUCCUCGUAGUCACCACACCUUUGUGAUUCCUGAACCUGGAGGGGCGCAAAACCAAAAUUGAGUGGGUCAGUAAAACAAUUCUUUUCCAAAUCCAAACAUUUCUCAAAACGUUGUAACCCCUCUCCGUAAAACCUGUAUACUUUCCCAGAAAUGUAAAAUAUAAAUAUACAUAUAUAUUCUCAAAACUUCAUUUUUACUAUCUCAACAUUAUCUCUUUAUCAAUCAUGCCAUGCCAUGUCAUCUCAACAUUUCUCAUAUUAAUUAUGCCAUGCCACACAUCAUCUCAACAGUAAUAAGGUAUGAAUGCAUCAACAUAAUCAUAUCAGGUGCAAGAAAGUAAUCAACCGUAGGCCCUCUAAUAGCCCUAUACGGUUGAACCUAGAGCUCAAAAAUCUAUCAUUAUCACUCUACCGGAGUCACCUCUGUGACCCGUCCGGCCUUCUCUGCACACAAGUUACGCUCUAGUGCUUCUCAUAAAUCAUCUGUGCACAUAAUCUAAGGUCACCCACCAGUCGGAAUCUCACUAACACUCUCGCGACUGGUCUGUCGUACCCACUCCGCGUGGACUGUACGACUAGCAUCUACUUGGAUCCAAGGCGAGCGUGCGAUGCGGUGAAUACUAUAAGCACUAAACCAUGGUGCAGGAUUUGAGCUCAAUAUAUAUCAUCAUCAUCAUAGCAGUAAUUAAAUACUCAUCUGUGCGUCCACCGCACCAUUUCAUACAUAUGCAUCAUAAAUCAAUUCUUACCUGUGCGUCCACCGCACCAAUUCAUACAUAUGCAUCAUAUAUUAAUUCAUGCAUGGCAUUUCAACUCACAUUUCUAUAUACUUUUCAUAUCAAUUCUAUGCAUGGUAUUUCACUUCCCGUUUUUCCACAUAACUCAUAUGCAUUUCAUUUUAAACAUAAUUUCAUGCAUUUUCAAUUUCUGGGAAAACGUUAAGUAUAUAUAUAUAUACGGAAAACAAAACUGCCCACUCACUUGGAGUUCGCCCUACAACUCCCUAGCACAAUACGCCAAGGCGUCAUGACGAUCGGCGCCUAAAACAAUAAUCAAUUCCAACCUCAGAAUUCAUAUCGAUAGAAUAUAUAACUUAUAUAAAAUACGUCACUACGUAGAUUGAUCCGGAAGAUCCACCCUCAGAUUUUAAAUCCAUAACUUCCAGAGGUUCACAUUAUACCUCUAGGACAACAAUCCUAAAAUUUCAUUACCAUCCAACGGUCGGAUCUCCGUCAAUUUCCAAAACUAAGUGACGGUUAACAUUUUUAUAUUAUGGACUUACAAUUCCAAUUCCGGAAGAUCCGUAACUCGGAUUCCCAAUCCGUAAGUUCCAAUAAUCCUCAAAUAUUAUGUAUUACAACGUAUCAAAGUUUGGUGACGAUCCAACGGUCGGAUCAUCAAUUUACAUUUUCACCUAAAUGUGAAAACUAUAAAACGUUAUUUGAACACCUAACCAACAAUCUUCAAUAACUUUCUCAUACGGUGUUCAAUUUAGGUAUAUGAAUAUAUCACAGUGAUCUACUCGACGUCACGGACGUCGACAUAUUUUUAAAAUAAUUUUAUUUUUAUUUUUUUAUUUUUACUGUAGCACCUUCUUCUUCCUUGGGUCGCCGGACUGGUUUUUCCGGCGGCCGUUUUCUGGGCAGUUUUUCAAAUUGCCAUAACUUUGUCAUUUCUCAACUAAAUCAAGUGAUUCAAAAACGAAAGUUGUAGCCCUUGAAGAGACAAAAGAGAAUGGUACCUUUCCCAACACCUAGUUCGCCGUAGUUUGGCCGGAAACUGCCUCGAAAGCCUCGGAGGUCGCCGGAAACUGGGUAUUUUUCAAAUGAGUAUAACUUCUUCAAUACUCAACGAAAUUGAGUGAAACAAAAAGGAAAGUUGUAGUACUUGACGAGAUGAAGAGAUUGAUACCUACCUCGACGCCUAACUCGCCGGGGAUUCGCCGGAAAAUUCCUCGAAAGCUCCGGCCAAACUUUGAACUUAUCGAUCUCCGUGUUCUUACGUCCAAAAACUUCCAACGAAGCACUCCGAGCUUCCUUGGAACCUCACUAAGCUCACUGUGAGCUUGGAUUGUCCUAAAAAAAAAAGUCAAUUCGAAGAUCAUGAACAGUGCACUUUCACGGGGAGUUUAGAAUCUAGGUUUUCCGAAGUAAAACUUACCUGAAAUUGGUGUCUACGUGAUCGUGGAGUCUCCAGGAGUUCGAUGGUGGUCUUAACUCCGUCGUUGGUGGAAGUUUAAGGUUGUUUUGUGGUUGGUUUGUUCGAACGGAGAAGAAGAGUGACAGAGAGAGAGAGAUUCAUGAGGGAGGAGAGAGAGAGACAGUAUGCAGAAAAUAGGGAGAGGAUUGAGGGGUGUGGGGAUCCCACGUGUCCAACUCAAUCCAAAUUGUUAAAUUUUCGCCCCUUAGUCCCGUUUAAGGGCAUUUUCGUCUUUUCAUGUCCUCGGAAUUAAAAUUCCGGGACGGGCUGUGACAAUCUUCCCUCCUUAUAGAAUUUCGUCCCCGAAAUUCCAGCAACCAACUAAAUCAACCAUACUCCAACAAUAGCUUCGGGUAAAUCUUUCUCAUCCGAUUCUCUUUCUCCCACAUACUUUUCUACUGAAUGAUUUCCUUCACAAAGCUUUUACUACUUACUCUGUCUUAAUUCUCAGGACCUUCUUUUUCCAAUCCAAAGUCGUCCUUGAUUCCUUAUCAAGUCGAAUCCAAUUUAAUUCUCAAUAGUUACACCAGAAUCUCAUGUGACGAAUCUGCCACCUAGUGACAACGCAUCGAAUCAUAAAAUAUGUUUUGCACCUUAACCAAUUCUGAGGGCAUCACAAGCUUGUAAGCAACUUCACCAACUUUUCGAUAAUCACUUAAGUCCGAUUAACUUAGGAUUUAACUUACCUUCUUUCUCUACCUUGGUUAAUUCUUAAAUUUCCUCGCCAAACAUUUAAGUUUCGAGUACGACCUUACCAAACAGGCCUAACUUGAAAAUUAACAAGUAUAACUUCUUCUCAAUCUUCCAUUCUUAAUUUUUCUUCCGUUGGUUUUCAAUCCACAAGAUGAUACUCUUGACAAACGUGCCAGACAUUAAUCUUACUGCAAUCUUUUCACCAAGUGUAUCAGCUAGAACAAUUUUACGAUCACCCUGGUCGUACAAUCAUAUACAUUAAACAAUUCAAUUUACCUUCGCUACCUCAGAUCAAAAUCCUUCCGAGUAAUGGAUAUUGAAGACUUUUUGGAUUCGUAAAAAUCUUGCAUUCUUACCAAAUAUAUAAUGUCUCCAUAACUUCACAGUAAGAAUGGUAAUCAUGACUUCCAAGUCACCCGUAGGGUAAUUCAUCUCAUGAGGUUCCAUUUAUCGUGAAACGUAUGCAAUCACCCUAACAUUUACAUCAACAUGCCUCCAAUACCAUUCAAGAAACAUCACUAAAAAUUUAUGAUUACCACUAUUCUCUGGGAAUACCAAAAUACGUGCAUGAGUGAGGAAAUACUUCAGUUGUUGAAUCCUUUGCUCACAAUUUCCUUCCCACUCAUACAUAACCUCUUUUCUCAACAGUCUCG